UACGUAGGGGGCAAGCGUUGUCCGGAUUCAUUGGGCGUAAAGAGCGUGUAGGCGGCCAGGUAGGUCGGUUGUGAAAACUGGAGGCUCAACCUUCAGAGGUCGACCGAAACCAUCUGGCUAGAGUCCGGGAGAGGAGAGUGGAAUUCCUGGUGUAGCGGUGAAAUGCGCAGAUAUCAGGAAGAACACCCGUGGCGAAAGCGGCUCUCUGGAACGGUACUGACGGCUGAGACGCGAAAGCGUGGGGGAGCGAACAGG
rnacentral:rRNA from 1 species